rnacentral:sRNA from 1 species
GCUGGCCCACAAUGGGCAGCCGGGUUUAGCAGCCUGUUUCAAAGUGCGGGGAUAUACCGCUAUAAUUCAGCGGUUUUUUU